rnacentral:lncRNA from 1 species
AUAUACACACAAAUAUAGUAUAUCUAUAAGAGAGACAGGAAAUACUGGCUUUCUGUUUGUGAUGAAAUGCAAAUUCCUUAUGUAUUUUUCCAAAAUGUUUAAAAUGAGGCUUUUGUAAUCAGAAGUAUAUAAGCCCCCUUCCCCCAAAGAAAAUGAUUAUUCUACUGCCCGUCUUGACUGUAUUCUUACUUGGGGGCAGGGUGGGUGGCGUGAACAGGGAGAGCUAAUCUCUCCUUCUUUCUGACUCAUUCCACAGUCAAUCCUUUUUCUUAUUAUUUUCCAAAGGCAUGAGGACCUUCCAUGUUCCGAAACCAUUGUCCAGAGUAUUUCUUCUGGACUAUUUUCCACUUCCUUCCAUCUGACCGGCCAGCUGUUCUGCAUUUGUAAAAGCUGGUUUCUGAUGUCAUCUCUAGGCAGGACCGCUCCCUCCCUCUCCUGCACUCCUAUACUUCGUGGCAUAUCCGCCCCAAGAUAACACUUGUCACUCUGUUUUCCAAAUUCAGUUUCAUUCAUUUGCUUCACAUGUGCACUGAGCCCACUGACUUCUUUCCCUGUCUGUUGCCAGCACUGGAGACCAAGCCUGCACGCUUUGGCCCAGACCAUCUCAUUCACCUUUUAACACAGAAUCAGGGCCAUUCUCAAGCACAACCUGGGUGAGGCUCUGUCAUUGCUUAAUGGAUCAGCUGUAUAGUAACAGCAGAAGAUAAAACAUGGCUUCCAGAUCAGCUAAAGUAUCAACAAGAAUGAAAAUGACACUUCAAAGGAUUUAAGUGAAGAGAGUGUCGUGAAGAUUAUUUGUAGAGAUGUGGGAUCAGAUGAGAAACACCCUGGGACCAGAAACAGCAGAAGCCCUAAUGCCUGCCAAAGGGCAAGACCAGGGUGAGCUCCUACCCACAGUAUCUGGCGAGAGCUGGAGCCCUGAGACAGGGAUGGGGCCUACUGGCACUUGGAAAGUGUACUGGGGUCUUAGUGAACUGAUGUCAUUUCCUCUUCUCUUCCCCAGGAUUUGAGAUUUCUAAAAACAACAACAACAACAACAACAACAACAACAAAACCCUAUACAAAUCUAAAUUAGUUAAAAAAAAAAAAACUAAAGUGGUUGGAUGGGAGCUAUGGCUUAGGAAGAGAAACACAGCCCAUCAAAGAGGGACUAGGGAUUUAAAUAACCCUCUCUUCUCUCUUCCUGUCCAUGCCUUCUGUUGGGUGAAACUAGCAGCCAGAAGGCAAGGGGGCCUGGGUGGAGAUGUCCAGUGGCAUUAGCCUCCCAGGUACAGAGAGAUGCAGAGAAAGAUGCAAAAUAGACCUGGAGUAGCUGAGAAUCAUCUUGUCAUUUGUCACCUAUUAGCCAGUUGCUUUGUCCAAGGCCUUGAGCCUCAGUUUUCUAUAGAGUGGGCAUCAAACUUGUCUACCUCUUGUCUGCCUCACAGGGCCAUGGGGAACAGCCAGUGAAAGUGUUAAAAUCAUUCGCUUGCCAUUUGACCCUCUUCUUCAUCUGCAUUAUCUCACUUAAUUCCUCAACAGCCGGGUAGGGUAUAAGGCAGAGAGGCCAGGGGACAAGGACAGGCAGGCACUUUGGAAUCAGAAGAAGAGGUCAUCAACUGUGGCUCAGCCAAGCUUUUUAACUGUGAGAUCAUGGGAAACUGAAGCUCUCUGAACCUCAGCUAUUGUCUUACUUUGAGCUCCCCCAAAAUCACAUCCUGAGACAAAUAUUUGAGUGCAAAUAGUUCAUUUGGGAGCUGAUCCCAGGAUGCACCAGGAGGGACUGGGCAGGGACUCAGAAAAGGGAAGAAACCCAAUUAUUGGUGUAUUCACAAGUGGGCAACUCGGUCUCAGUGCCACAACUGUGAUGAAGACUGUGCAGGACACAUCCUGGGGUUGGUGGAAUGCAGGGUGCGGGUGCUGGGGUGUUUAUUCACCACCUUCCAUCCCUCACUGGCUGAGGGUUGUUCUUGGAAGUUUUAACUCCCUGGCCAUUUCACACUGCCUGCUGUGGCCAGAGGAGACUCAAGCAGCCAGAGAGUGCCAUGGGGUGGAGACACACAGGAAGCCACAUAGAUGCCCUCCAGCAUGGGCCAGGAGGGAAUGUCUGGGGGACCGACAGCAUCCGUUUUGUUUUUCUAAUUUGUAUGCUAGAGAUGAUGUCUAUGUCACAGGACAGUGACAGAGAUGAAAUGAUUAAUGAUUAAAUGGCUAAAUGUCUUCCAAGUGCCUGGCUCAUAGUAGGUAUCCAAAGAAAAGGAGGCAUUCAUAGUAAAGAUGGGUAAAUAUUCAUGUGUUACAGAUGGAAGCAAAUGGGACUCAAAGAAGUUAAGACAUUUGCCCUAAAUCACACAGACAGUUCUUAAAUGGCCAAGUCAGAUCUGGCCCCAGUUUGUUCCCCUUCCACUCUGCCGUGGCUACCUCCUGUUAAUGGACUAUACAUUUAGAGUGCUUUUGCCUCAUAAAGUGUGUGAAGCUCCAUAAAUAUAAAAUGUUUGUAGUCCCAGCCUUGCUAGCUCAAAUCCAAGUUAAAUUGACUCUUGGGUAGUUCUUCUCUCAGCCCCAAUUCUCAUAAGCUCAAAUAUAUAUUUUCUUAGUCCCCUGGGAUCCUCCAUUCUGUGCCCCAACAAUCCCUAACCCUUCAUUAGUAAUGCCUAGAUGUCUCCACAUAUUUCAAGGGGUGCCAGAAAGUCUCCAGACAAAAUAAAAGAUGCCAUAAAACACCAAGUGCAUAAAACUCUAGACACCUUGUUCUCCAUGUCAUGUUUCCUUUUAAAAACAAAUAUUUUGAAAUGCCCUCUUUACUAUCCUGCUGAUACACACAUAAAAACUAAUAAAAUGCACAAACUCUUUUCUUAAAAAUUGUGGGAAGAUAUACAUAAUAAAAAAUUUACCAUUUUAACC